GUCUACAGCCAUACCACCCUGAACUGGCCGAUCUCAUCUGAUCUCUCAAGCUAAGCAGGGUUGGUCCUGGUUAGUACUUUGAUGGGAAAUAAUCUUUGAAAAUUACUCAACCCUGUGCAUC
rnacentral:rRNA from 1 species